rnacentral:rRNA from 1 species
GAUGAACGCUAGCUACAGGCUUAACACAUGCAAGUCGCGGGGCAGCAUGGGGGUUGCUUGCAAUCCCCGAUGGCGACCGGCGCACGGGUGAGUAACGCGUAUCCAACCUGCCCUUCACCACGGGAUAACCCGGCGAAAGUCGGACUAAUACCGUAUGUUGUCCAUUGACGGCAUCCGAUUUGGACGAAAGGUUUGGCGGUGAAGGAUGGGGAUGCGUCCGAUUAGCUGGACGGCGGGGUGACGGCCCACCGUGGCGACGAUCGGUAGGGGUUCUGAGAGGAAGGUCCCCCACACUGGAACUGAGACACGGUCCAGACUCCUACGGGAGGCAGCAGUGAGGAAUAUUGGUCAAUGGGCGUAAGCCUGAACCAGCCAAGUAGCGUGCAGGAUGACGGCCCUAUGGGUUGUAAACUGCUUUUAUGCGGGGAUAAAGUGGCCCCCGUGUGGGUUUUUGCAGGUACCGCAUGAAUAAGGACCGGCUAAUUCCGUG